UACGUAGGGGGGCAAGCGUUGUCCGGAUUUCUUGGGCGUAAAGAGCUUGUAGGCGGCUUUACAGGUCCGUUGUGAAAACUCGAGGCUCAACCUCGAGACGCCGGUGGAAACCGUAAGGCUAGAGUCCGGAAGAGGAGAGUGGAAUUCCUGGUGUAGCGGUGAAAUGCGCAGAUAUCGGGAGGAACACCUAUGGCGAAGGCAGCUCGCUGGGACGUUACUGACGCUGAGACGCGAAAGCGUGGGGAGCAAACAGG
rnacentral:rRNA from 1 species